rnacentral:lncRNA from 1 species
CCAUGAAGACAGAAACAGUGCCAUCGUUCCGGGAGACUCCAGCUGGAUCCAGCUGUCACCUUAAUAACCUGUUGAGUAGGCGAAAGGUGAUGGCUGUGGGGGUCUUGCUUGCUGGCUCCUGGCCAUACACCUUCUGGUCAGCGUGUGGCUGCUGUGCCUUCUGUCUGCAUUGCUAGUGGUGCUGGGAGGAUGGCUGGGCUCCAGUGUCUCUGGAGUGGCUUCAAGUCCACUGCUCCUGGAAGGCUUCAUCCCAUUGGCCACCUGUCCUCUAUGCCCUGAGGCAGAAAGACAGCUGGAACAGGAGAUCAACCGCACCAUCCAGAUGUGAUUAUUUGAGAUUUUAUAUUAUCCUUGUACCGUUCUGUGAGCCAGGAGCCAGCCUUUGCGGAGGAAAUGGAGGCAGCCAUGAAAGAGUUGGUCCAGGAGCUUCAGAGGAGGAUGAGCAUGAUGGACCAUCAUGCUCUUGCCCAGAGUGUUCUGCCUCUCUGUCGUUUUUCACCUGCAGAGCUACAUUCAGGCAAAGGAGGCCACUACAGGGAAGAAUGGUCCAGUUGAGCCUUCCCACCUCUGGGAGGCUUACUGCCAGGCUACUGCCCCACAUCCUGCUGUGCACAGCCCCAAUGCUGAAGCCACCUAUACAUGUGGUAUUGUGAAUUUGUUGCUUCAAGGGCUGGUGCCCAAGUCCCACUUGGAGACUCAUACUGGAUGCCAUGUAGUGGUUGAACUCAUCAUAUGCAGUGUAGUCUUACCACUGAUCAGCCGGCUGUCAGAUCCUGACUGGAUCCACCUUGUCCUCAUGGGUAUCUUUUCCAAGGCCAGAGAUCCAGCACCCUGCCCAGCCAGUACCCCUGAACAGCCCUCAGUGCCCACAUCUCUGCCACUGAUUGCUGAGGUACAGCAGCUUCCAGAAGGGAGGGCUCCUUCUCCAGUAGCAGCCCCAGGGUUCCUAAGUAAACAGUGAGCCAGAGAUUCCUGCAGGCCCCUCCUCAGAGGUUGAAGGUGGCCAGGAAGCUGUAGAGGGAGAUUUGGGUGGAAUGUCUGAAAAAAGAAAAGUAGGAAACAACUCAUCUCAUUUCCUACAGCCAAAUAUUCGAGGCCCCCUGUUCUUAUGUGGAGACUCAGAGCUGGAGUCUCUGCUGUCUGAAGUAGGCUAAGAAACCAUCAUGCUAGACUCCAGGCCACUUUCUGUCUGACAGGAUUCAGGAUGCCCUGUGUGCCCUAGAGGGUUCCCAGGCUCUGGAACCCAAAGGUGGUGAGGGAUCUGAAGGAGCAGAGGCUGAGGAGGGUCCAGGGACAGAAACAGAGACAGGCCUGCCUGUCUCCACACUGAACUUCUGCCCAGAGAUCCAGAUUGACACAGCAGACAAGGAGAUAGAACAAGGAGAAGUUACCACCUCUGUUACAGCUUUGCUGGAGGGGCUGGAAAAGACCUGCUCCUCACGGCCCUCAUGCUUAGAGAAGGAUCUCACCAAUGAUGUGACCUACCUUGAUCCUAGUCUGCCACCACUUCUGCUUUCCUCCUCUUCACCUGGUCCUCUCAGCUCAGCCACCUUCAGCUUUGAACCCCUAAGCAGUCCAGAUGGCCCAGUUGUCAUCCAGAACCUUCAUAUCACUGGCACCAUUACAGCCCGAGAGCACAGUGGCACCAGAUUGCACCCAUGCACACGCUGUACUGUGAAGUAUGAGACAUCCCUUGUCGGUGAAAACAGCAGCCUGCAGCAGCUGGCCUACCACAUUGUGAAUCACCGCUAUUGGGAGUUCUUGAAUCUGCAGGCCGUCAGGAGAAGAAACCAGAUCUAUGAAAGUUCAUUAGAAAUGUGAAGGGUCCUAAAAAGCUCUUUCCAGAUCUUCCAUUUGGAAACAUGGACAGUGACAGAGUAGAAGCCUGUAAGAGCCUCCUAUAAUAAUUCCUGAAGCAACUGUAUGCCAUUCCAGCGAUUGCUAACAACAGUGAGGAGGUGCAGGAGUUUCUUGCUGUGAACACAGAUGCUCGCAUUUCCUUUGUCAAGAAACCAUUUAUGGUCUCUAGAAUAGAGAAGAUGGUGUUGAGUGCCAUUGUGGACACCUUGAAGACAGCGUUUCCUUGCUCUGAAUCCCAGAGCCCCACAGAGAAGCUGAGUGAGGCCGAGACUGAAAGCAAGUCCCAUAUAGAAGGCAAGAAGGCUAGCAAGUCCAGGCUGAGGUUCUUACCCAGUAAAAUAUCUCCAGCACUAAGUGUGACUGAAGCACAAGACAAGAUUCUUUAUUGUCUCCAGGAAGGCAAUGUGGAGUCCAAGACCCUAUCCAUGUCUGGGAUGGAAUCUUUUAUUGAAAAACAGACAAAGUUACUGGAGAUGGAGGCAACAGAAGCCCCAGAAAAAGAUCCUGAACAACUUCCCAAAGGACAUGUGGACAGCUGCUUGUCAGAUGCAGCUGUGCCAGCCCACGAUCCAGCAACGACGGUUCAGGAACAGAGACAGAGUUAGCUGACACAGCCGUGAAUCUGCUUCUCUUGCUACUAACAGAACAGUGGAAAUGGCUGUGUACUGAAAACAUGUAGAUGUUUCUUCAUCUUAUCUUUGGUACCCUAGUUUAAAGGUGGCUAGACGUGCAGGUAGCUAAUUUAACAAGUCCACAGUGCUGGGUGCAGUACCUCUGGCUUCUUCUGGAGUCCAUCUGGCCUGGUGGAGUUUUGCCUAAGUUUCCACGGCCUGUAAGGACCCAGGAGCAGAAACUGGCUGCUGAGAAACAGGCUUUGCAGAGCCUAAUGGGAGUCCUCCCAGAUCUCAUAGUAGAAAUUCUUGGGGUGAACAAAUGCCAGCUGAGUGUCUAGUCUUGGAGUCACUACAACAACCACUCAUCAACAGGCAUUUGAUUUACUGCCUUGGGGACAUUAUCCUGGAAUUCUUGGAUCUCAGUGCCUCUGUUGAGGAGUCCGCUGCUACCACCUCUGCUUCAGAUACCCCAGGCAGCCCUAAGAGGCUGGGUGUCU